UAUAUCGACGCCAAAACCAUGUCAACGCCGCUACAGUGAUUUUUUUAACAAAAUAUUUUAACUCUCCCUCGCAUCCCUCUCUCUUCGCUCUCGCGAUACUCACUUUCCUUGUUUCUUUUCCUCCAUCGAGUUCUUCUACAUCCUCAAUCUCUGCCGCCAUACUCUUUGUCCUCCAUCCAUCUCUGCCGCCAUCUUCUUUUUCUCCGUCUCUACCGCCAUCUUCUCCUAAACCCUAAAAAUUAGAACCAACAAAACCUAAUUUCUGAGCCCCCUUUUGAUAUCUCCGAUUCGAUUUGAUUCGAAUCCAAAUCUGAGGACGCGAUGGGCGAUUUCAACCUCUCGCGCUUCAUUGUCGCCAUUAUCCUCUGCGUCAUCGUCUCUGUUCCUUUCACUCAAACAUGUCCAUCACAUCACUAUCAUAAAUGAGCAAUACCGGUGGAUUGCAUAUUUGUCAAUCUUCAUAGCAUUGCAUAUUUGAAUGAACUAGUUCAGGUUCUGGUUCUGGUGAAAUCUGUAAGCUUGAGGUUUGUUUCCUUCUACUCUGUGUCUCUAUGUUUGUAGUGUUGCUGAUGUGAACCUUUUGGUUGGUCAAUUUCGUGUUUUGCUUUCUCCAAGAUCAUGACGAUUAGAUUGGGGAUUUAUGUGGAUUUGUUUCUGAUUGGAUUGAAAUUUUUUGAAAUUUACAGAAUUUGAUUUACUUGAUUUCAUGAUGGCUUUACUUUUUGGUUCGUUGAGUUAUUACUAUGCAGUUUGAUCAAAAACUGCAAUGCAUUUUGUUUUUGUUAAGCAUGUAUUAUGAUUGGAUUUGGUUUUUAAAAAAAAAUAAAAUUUGAAGUGUAUGUAUCGAAAAUUAUAAAAUUCUAGGUGCAUUUUAAGUUGAUUUGUUGAGCAUCUCUCAUCAUGGUUGUGCUUUCUAAUUUCCUUGUUCAUUACAAUUGCAACAUCUUUAUCAGUAUAAUGCAUGAGUUAUUCUUCUUUCAUAAUUUGAUUUUAGUUGUGCUUAGAAACUGUAUUUAAAAUAGAUUAGCUCAUCAUUUGUUUGAUGACAAUAUUAGUUCUUUUGCUGCGACACAAGUUUAAAAGAGAUGGUAUUGAUGUUCAAAUGGCAUGUCGGGUUGUCAGUGUUUCUAAUAAGGAAAUCACAAUGAAGGUGAAAUCCAAGAGAGAGUCUCUGUACAACAUGUGUUGGUUGUGUGGUCUACUGGUAUUGGGACUCGUCCAGUUGAGAGGGACUUAAUGAAACAGAUUAGGCAGGUUUGUUUCAUAACAUUUAUGCACAUACAAAGCCUGAGAAAUAUAGAAUUCACAUUUUAGUUAAUUGGUCUUUUACAUCGAGGGUUUUCCUAAUCUGUGGACUAAUAUGGCUGCUAUAUGGGUCACAUGCUUACUCAAGCAUAAUUUAUAUUCCGCUCCAUGUGUAGGCUGAUAAACGUGUUCUAUUGACUGAUGAAUGGUUGUAUGUAAAGGGUUGUGAAGAUAUGUAUGCAAUUCGUGAUUGUGCUUCAUCUUGGAACCAAAGAGCCAAGAUUAAAAGUAAGCUUACAAGGAAAUAAUCAUUCAAGGAUUUCAUGGACAUACUGGUUCAAGAGAGUUCUGUAUUAUUAGGUUGCUCUUAUUUAUGUGCUUACCAGACUAGUGGUCAAUGUUUCACAGGUCAAGACUUUUUUUUUUCUCCCUCUUUGUGAUGCUUGUUUUUGUUCAUGAAAAGAAAUAACUCAAUUUUUAUGGCAUGGUUUUGUUACUUUUGAUUUUGUUUUUUUGGAUUAAUGAACGCUUUUCAUCCAUUUCCAUAUUCUUUUAGAAGUUUUUUGGGUUGAAUUUAGAUUUGGUAUUGUUUUGCUAGUUUGAGUCUAGUGCUGUUCUUUAUUCAAAGAUUUCGUUUUGUUAUUCUUGGGGUUGAAAAUUUACCUCAUUGACCCUAUAAUAAUUUUGUUUUUGGAGUUGUAUUCCUUUUUUGUUUGUAAUCCGAUUAUGAAAUGCGGAUAUUAUUGCAAUGCUUUGUUUUUGGAGUUGUAUUCUUUUUUUCGGAGUUGUAUUAUUGCAAUCCGAUUAUGGAAUGUGGAUAAUAUGGAAAUUGAAUUUUUUCAAUGAACUACUAAAUUGAUUAUAGUCUUCACUUUGGGCUUCAAUUUCUUCAGAUUUUAGAGAUCUCUCUUUAGGUUUAUUUGGCUUGACUGGAAAGUAAUUUAUACAAUUUUUCUUAAUCUUAUACGCUCUUUUUGUUUAAUUUCAAUAUUCGAGAAGUGGAAAAAAGAAGGAAUUUUACACCCAAACACAAUUGGACAAGGUUCGAGAUGAAUGGUCAUGUCAUGUGCUAGAGUGGAUUUGAGUUUGAACAUUAUCCUUGUUGUUUCGGUAGUAUUUUGCUUAUACAUGUAUGGAUGAUGGAUGGAUUUUGGUUUAAUGGCAGGAGAACUCAUAAGUUUACCUA